CUGGGCUACACACGUGCUACAAUGGACAGAACAAAGGGCAGCGAAACCGCGAGGUUAAGCCAAUCCCACAAAUCUGUUCUCAGUUCGGAUCGCAGUCUGCAACUCGACUGCGUGAAGCUGGAAUCGCUAGUAAUCGCGGAUCAGCAUGCCGCGGUGAAUACGUUCCCGGGCCUUGUACACACCGCCCGUCACACCACGAGAGUUUGUAACACCCGAAGUCGGUGAGGUAACCUUUUAGGAGCCAGCCGCCGAAGGUGGGACAGAUGAUUGGGGUGAAGUCGUAACAAGGUAGCCGUAUCGGAAGGUGCGGUUGGAUCACCUCCU
rnacentral:rRNA from 1 species